UUUUACCUCCAAAUGAAGAAAUAACAUCAUGGUAACGCUGCAUGAAGUAAUCACGUUCUUGGUCAGUAUGCAAAUUAGCAUAAGCAGCUUGCAGACCCAUAAUGUCAAUAGAUGUGGUAGAAGUCGUCAUUUGGCGAGAAAGCUCAGUCUCAGGAGGAAGCGGAGCAGUCCAAAUGUUUUUGAGAUGGCAGCAACGGAAA
rnacentral:rRNA from 1 species